AUUGAACGCUGGCGGCCGGCCUAACACAUGCAAGUCGAGCGAGCGGCGGACGGGUGAGUAAUGUCUGGGAAUCUGCCCGAUAGAGGGGGAUAACUACUGGAAACGGUAGCUAAUACCGCAUACCAUCGGAUGCACCCCGAUGGGAUUAGCUAGUAGGUGGGGUAACGGCUCACCUAGGCGACGAUCCCUAGCUGGUCUGAGAGGAUGACCAGCCACACUGGGACUGAGACACGGUCCAGACUCCUACGGGAGGCAGCAGUGGGGAAUAGUGCACAAUGGGCGCAAGCCUGAUGCAGCCAUGCCGCGUGUAUGAAGAAGGCCUUAGGGUUGUAAAGUACUUUCAGCGGGGAGGCGUUACUCGCAGAAGAAGCACCGGCUAACUCCGUGCCAGCAGCCGCGGUAAUUC
rnacentral:rRNA from 1 species